UACGAAGGGGGCUAGCGUUGUUCGGAAUUACUGGGCGUAAAGCGCACGUAGGCGGGUUGUUAAGUCAGGGGUGAAAUCCUGGAGCUCAACUCCAGAACUGCCUUUGAUACUGGCAACCUAGAGACUGGAAGAGGUUAGUGGAAUUCCCAGUGUAGAGGUGAAAUUCGUAGAUAUUGGGAAGAACACCGGUGGCGAAGGCGGCGACCUGGUCCUUGACUGACGCUGAGGCGCGAAAGCGUGGGGAGCAAACAGG
rnacentral:rRNA from 1 species